AGUGUUUCUAUGGUCAAAUGUU
rnacentral:siRNA from 1 species